rnacentral:rRNA from 1 species
GAUGAACGCUGGCGGCGUGCCUAAUACAUGCAAGUCGAGCGAACGGACGAGAAGCUUGCUUCUCUGAUGUUAGCGGCGGACGGGUGAGUAACACGUGGAUAACCUACCUAUAAGACUGGGAUAACUUCGGGAAACCGGAGCUAAUACCGGAUAAUAUUUUGAACCGCAUGGUUCAAAAGUGAAAGACGGUCUUGCUGUCACUUAUAGAUGGAUCCGCGCUGCAUUAGGUAGUUGGUAAGGUAACGGCUUACCAAGGCAACGAUGCAUAGCCGACCUGAGAGGGUGAUCGGACACACUGGAACUGAGACACGGUACAGACUCCUACGGGAGGCAGCAGUAGGGAAUCUUCCGCAAUGGGCGAAAGCCUGACGGAGCAACGCCGCGUGAGUGAUGAAGGUCUUCGGAUCGUAAAACUCUGUUAUUAGGGAAGAACAUAUGUGUAAGUAACUGUGCACAUCUUGACGGUACCUAAUCAGAAAGCCACGGCUAACUACGUG